CCAGAAUCUCUGAAUAUGACCUUAUUUGGAGACAGAGUCAUUGCAAAUAUAAUUAGUUAAGAUGAAGCAAUAAUUGCAUAGAGUAAGCCCUUAAUGACUGCUAUUGUUAUAAAAAGAGAAGAGACAGAGACACAGAGCAAAGAUUUCUGCAUGUGGACGUAGGCAGAGCUCGCACUUACGCAUUUAUAAUCCAAAGAAGGCCAAGGGUAACUGGUAACUCUCAGAAGCAGAAAAAGAAGCUUGGGACGGACUCCCCUUCAGAGCUCUGUAGGGACCAAUUUUGCUGAUCCUUCAAGAUUGGAAAAAGAAGGUGAUGAGCAUUUUUAAACUCAGUUCACUGAGCACUGAGCAAUUGCUUAAGGGAAGGUCAAAGAACAGAAAAAAAUAUUUGAAGAAAAGAAGAAAAGAUCUAACCUUCAUUAUACAGGAUUGCACAGAUUGCCUUUUGUGAUAAAAAGAGGAAGAAAAAUGGCAGCAACCCAGAUUAUUAUUAUACUUAAAUGGUCUCUCACACUUUAUGAAGAUCUUUGUGUAAAAGUAUUAAGCAGUCCAUUUAACAGAGAAGUAUGUUUGUUUCACAUGUAUCAGAAAAUGUGAGUCUUAAUUAAAAUAGAUCCUGACGUCAAAUGCUAUUGAUGAGCAGUUAUUAUUCUAUAUGCUAUAUUUUAUAUCAGUGUAAUGUGUAUGAAGUUUUAAAAGACCUUCUAGGUUUCUGCCAGAUAGUGAUACAGUGAUAAAAUAUCAGCAGUUCAAAAAAAAAAGAAUGAAAGGUUUAUAUGAAUGAUGACACUGAAAAAAAAAAACAGACCCUCAGAACUAAGGUAUCUCUUGAUAAAUAAAGCUGUUAGAUGUUAUGUGGCAAUAUCAGAUGUCAGGAGACAGAAAGAAAGUAUUAGUUGCUUCCAAGGGAUCUGAUAUAAUGAAUAUAGUAAUUAGGUAGAUUGAUCACGGUCCCUCGGUUAUAGAAUCAAGUUGAUAAGACUCUACUAGUGAGUGGAAGUUGGUGGGGUCAAGAUUUGUUAAGAAAAUCUUAUGUAUUGUUUAGCAAACUAUAUGUAGAAGAAACUACUAGAGACAUAGAGAAUUACACAAUGUUUAUAGGUAGACAUAAAACUGAAUAAAACUUCAUGUAAUGGUUGUUAUAUAUGCUACUUAGUUUUUCACCAACUUAUUUCUUUUAAUAUUUCAUAAAAAUUAUGUUUUUAAAAUUAAUUUAUAUUCAUAUACAUAGUUCUAGUUUAGUCACAAUGUUUCAGAGUGCAUACAUAUGAAGUAAAAUAUAAAGAAUGUAAAGGGGUGAUAAAUAUAAAUUCAGAAAUGUAAAUAUCUCUAUGUGGAAGAAGAAUACAAUCAGUAAAAUAUGUAGGAAUGAUUCAACUCUGUUUUAAGCUUUAUUUGUUAAUAGUGGAGACAGAAUUUUUUGUAUUCUUUAUUCAUUUUAUAUUCUUGAAAUAGUUCAAAAUAAAUUUAAGUUUUCUCCAAAA
rnacentral:lncRNA from 10 species